AGAGUUUGAUCCUGGCUCAGAACGAACGCUGGCGGCGUGCUUAACACAUGCAAGUCGAACGCGAAAAGGGACUUCGGUCCCGAGUAGAGUGGCGCACGGGUGGGUAACGCGUAAGUAAUCUACCCCUGUAUCUGGAAUAACCCACCGAAAGGUGAGCUAAUACCGGAUACGUUUAUCUUGAUGCGAAUGAUGAUAAAGAAAGGUGGCCUCUUCAUGAAAGCUACUGUACAGGGACGAGCUUGCGUACCAUUAGCUAGUUGGUAGGGUAAUGGCCUACCAAGGCGACGAUGGUUAGCGGGUCUGAGAGGAUGAUCCGCCACACUGGAACUGGAACACGGACCAGACUCCUACGGGAGGCAGCAGUGGGGAAUUUUGCGCAAUGGGCGAAAGCCUGACGCAGCGACGCCGCGUGGAGGAUGAAGGUUUUCGGAUUUGUAAACUCCUUUUUGUAGGGGGGAAAUAAUGAUGGUACCCUAUGAAUAAGCCAACGGCUAACUCUGUGCCAGCCGCCGCGGUAAUA
rnacentral:rRNA from 1 species